CCGGCUGAACGGACACCACCUAACAAACGAAACUCUCGGAUAUUACGUUUAAACUUGAGGUCUGACAUGAAAUUUUCGUUCAGUCCACUGAGCAAUACUUCCGACUACGACACGGCCACUGACCUAGUCGCCAAUAUCACCCCCGAAGGGCCUUAAAGCGCACCAACUCUCCCAGCAUAUGUCAUUGCAUUGUACAUCGUUCACUCUCGGCCGCUGCCUAGUUCACUGUUCUGUAUCUGCUCAGGCCCGUUUGCCGCCCGAAACGAAAUCCACAAACCUCAAAUGCCACUACGAUCCCGUCCGACGUCGAAGUGAAGUGAUUGACUAUAAAAUGGCCGUCUAGUCAAUCGUUUAUUAUCAAUUGCCGAGACCCGUCCGUUAAAAAAGAGAGGACAUAAAUAUAAAGGAAAUAAAGAAAAGGCAGAAGGUGGGGGAGCUUGGUAGAAAUAACCAGUAUAAAAGGUUGAGUAAGUCGUGCUAAGGGCAUUUUUCUUCCUACCACUUGCUAUGGUUCGGAGGGCGCGGCUCAGCCCUACUGGUAUAUGAGGUUGCGUGUACAACGCAGUCGACGGGUGGUAGUUCUAUUUGUUUUUGCCCCAGAAAUCCCACCCGCACCCCUUUUGAAUUCUCCAGACUACUUCACACCUCACGGUUUCGCGUCUUUAAACGAGCGGUCGAAUGCUUCCGUUGGAGCAGGUCGUUAGUUGAAAUGCUAUUUGAGUUGACUCCACUUGCCUAUCUUCCUCCGAGCGGUGGCCGACGAAACAUUAGUCAGUGCAUUAAAUCGGUCUAGAUGGGCGAAACAAGCACACAUCAGGCAGUAGGAAGGUGUCGAGUCGCCGUAUAUUGAGCGAAACGUCCAGUAAAGUAACUGUCAGACAUUAUGGUCUGCUAUCGCCAUCAAACCAAAAUUAAUUUCGGUGCUGUUGGUGUCCACUCAACCUCUUUUCUAACCUAUAAGUGGUGGCCUUCUAUUGUCCUACCACUCCGGCCGUUCUUGGACACUCCAAAAGGCACAUCGUCCUACACUUUGGAACACCCGUGCUCGUCGGCCCGUUUGAUGACCACUUGCCAUUUUUAUCUGUUUUGGUCACCUGGUCCUAUCAAACUUGGACAGCCUCGACUACUCACGAUACUCCAGACCUUCAAAUGCUGCGGCGUUUGUCCCUGACCAUUGAGCGCUAUUCACUGAACACUUGUAGCGGCAAUGAGAACAACAGAUAUAGCGUCCUUGCUGUGAUAGUGUGAGUGUUAGCGUCGGAGGUUGCCGCGGCGGAUGGAAUUUACAUGAGGGAUAACAAACCAAGAACAAGCAAAACGAUAAUGCAGAACGUCCACCACGAGGCAUAACUGCCAAUCAACAACAACCUCUAAAUGCUUUUUUCCUUGACCUAUUGCCCCACAAUAGCACAGGAGAAGUUCGCUUGACAAAUUGAU